CACGUAGGGCGCAAGCGUUGUCCGGAAUUAUUGGGCGUAAAGAGCUCGUAGGCGGCUUGUCACGUCGGUUGUGAAAGCCCGGGGCUUAACCCCGGGUCUGCAGUCGAUACGGGCAGGCUAGAGUUCGGCAGGGGAGACUGGAAUUCCUGGUGUAGCGGUGAAAUGCGCAGAUAUCAGGAGGAACACCGGUGGCGAAGGCGGGUCUCUGGGCCGAUACUGACACUGAGGAGCGAAAGCGUGGGGAGCGAACAGG
rnacentral:rRNA from 1 species